rnacentral:pre_miRNA from 1 species
UGUGAGUGUUGAAUACUUAAAUAUUCCUUUGAUAGGCCUGGCAAGCCUGUACCAUCCUUAAAAGCUUCGAAGAGGGUGGUACAGGCUUGCCAGGUCUGUUGAAGGAAUAUUCCAAGUUAUUCGAUUGUCACA